UUUUUAACCAACAAUAUAUAUAUAUAUAUAUAUAUAUUAAAACUCAUUUACUGCUUAAAACAAAGGAUGUUCCAUCUUUGAAACCCCCCCUUUGAGCCAAAUCCAAGAGAAGCAGCUCAACCGCCAUUUUGAGCCAAGCUUCGAUUUCAGAGAGGGCUUCUCCGACGCCGCGACGGUGGGUUCAGGUAUAAUGGACGUGGGCCGUGGGCCGUGGGUCGUGCUUCACGCUCGUUGGCCGGACAUGCGAGGUGGAGUGCGUGGUGGUGGAGAACGUGGGUAGUAGAAGCAUGGAGGCAGUUGGAGGAUAGGGUCUUGGCUGAAAAAUGUUUUUGGGGUUUGUGGGUUAGGGUUAAGUAUUUGGGCUUCAAAAUUGGGUCUGUUUUUGGUUUAAAAAUUUGGGCUUUAAUAGUAAAUGGGCCCGGGCAAAAAUUGGUACCCACAAAGAGGAGAUGGACUAUGAACUUUGUUUAGUCGGUAAAUUUUAGGGUUAAAGAGUAAUCAAUUUUGCAGCGAUGGAAUGUGGAUUGUUAUCCUUAUGUAGAGCUAUACAAGAAGCUAGUAUCAAACCGAUUAGGGGUGGUUUAUAUCUGAUUCAAUUUUAACCAUCUUAUUGAUCUGAAGAA